rnacentral:rRNA from 1 species
UGGUGGAGUGAUUUGUCUGGUUAAUUCCGAUAACGAACGAGACUCUGUCCUGCUAAAUAGUUGUCGUGUCCUUUGUUGCGCGACAAUUUCUUCUUAGAGGGACUGGCGGCGUCUAGCCGCACGAGAUUGAGCAAUAACA